rnacentral:tRNA from 1 species
AAAGGGAGACCUAAUUCAGGUAUGGGACGAAAAAAAAGUAGUCGCUACCAAGAAUCAAUCCCAAAAGGUCGGAGCGAGGCGAAAUUGGCUUUCAAACUAGGUUCUGGGUUCACACAAGACCUGAAUCAGGAACAAGGGCUAUUAGCUCAGGUGGUUAGAGCGCACCCCUGAUAAGGGUGAGGUCCCUGGUUCGAGUCCAGGAUGGCCCACCUGCACAGGUGGCAAAAACAAGAGAAGCUCCGAAUCAGCACCUUAUCUUACUUAUAUAGUAAGAGAGAAUGCUGGCUCUGAGUUCAGAGUCCAGAGGAACCUUGAAAACUGCAUAGAGCUAGGUGAAAAAGCCAAAAAAGAAGACCGCAAG